CAUGUUCCUACCUACACAUGACGACAUUGACGGUUUCUUGACGGGCCUUGACCUACCGAAAUUAACGAACGAUGACCUAGACCUGCUACAACAACCAUUCUCCAUGGACGAGAUCACGGCUGUAAUAUCGAAACUGCCAGCCCACAAAUCCCCUGGCCCCGAUGGCUUUACUAACGCAUACUACCAGAAAUUCUCACGCAUCCUUACGCCACAG